rnacentral:lncRNA from 1 species
AGGAGUACAAGGUUGGGAUGAGCCCCACUUCUUCCUUGACAGUGGGGUCCUCUGCAGGGUCAGGUCCCUGCAGUCCUGUGGGGCUUUGUAGCGAAACGUCAUCACUUCCCUGUGCUCCUUGCCUUCUGCAGCCUGACCUUGGUAGUCACAGGACUGAAAUGUGACCUAGCCCUUGGGUCCACAUUGCUUUCAGGAUCCCUGUUGUAGCCUUGUCGACCUCCCUGGGUCAUGCUGUAGGGAAAGGGUCUUAGGAGGACCUCCCCAAGGGGAGGGGGCAGGCUUCCCCUGGGCAGACAGGCAUUGAGCUGGCAAGAAGUGAAACCCCCAGGGACCAGCACUGUGUCCCUCCCCCUGCCCCCGCAGUCAGCCUCUCCUUGAGUGUCCUUCCAGGAGGAAGCUAAAGGAACUUGGGCAUUCAGGGAGCCUUUGAGUCCCUCACAGAGACUCAGGGCCACCCGAAGCUCGCUCCCUCUCACAGUAGCCUGACAAGGUGCUGCCGCUCGCCACGGUCCCUCUGCCCUGUGCCUGGGCACACACAGGCAUCGGGCACCUGCAUGGGAGACGGCGAGCCUCCCGUCCAGGUGCUUCUGGCUUUCCAGGUGAGAAGGAGACAGGUGCCUUCCCCACCUAGAGAUGUCAAGGGAGGUUCACUUUCCUAACCAGGGCUAUAAUUCUCAUUCAGUCCUAAGAGUGGCCUCCAUAAAGAGGACUGCCCUGACAUUUCUUUACCAUCUGUAGCUAUAACAUUGUCAGCAGCCCAGAGGCCCUGGAAUUGUGGGUGAGGAUGUCUGGCAUAGGGUGAGUGUGAGGGCUGUCAGGCAGCGUUUAUGAGCUCACCUGCUCUGGGGCCCUCCUGCGCCCGGAGACCCACUGGUCUUCCACCUUCCCCAGCUCCCUGCCCUGUCCAGCUGUGACUCCUCCACAGCCCCCGGAGGUGUGGGAGCCCUAGACUAGCUCUCACCCCAGCUCCUGGAAAUCCUAGACUCUGCUCUCAUGUGUUAUUCCUCACCCCUUCACUCAACUCCAUUGACCCUCCCCUUUCCCAGUGUCCCCACUGUGCCAGAUCCAAGAGAAGCCCGCUCUCCUUUCACUGCUGUGGCAAACCCAGAAACCAGGGGCAGCGAUGAGGGACCAUCGUUUCUCUCCCGGGCCUGGCCAGCAUCCCCAGCCUAGGAGAAGGAGACCCUCCCCAUCCUGAGUCAGCCCCUCGGUGCUGGCCUCUCCUGCCUGCUGGGAGCCUCCCCGGUACGGCUGCUGGGCCCUGGGGAGAUGCAGGCUCUGUUCAGAUGCUGUCUCCAUGCUGCACCUUUGCAUGUGUGCCCUCUUGGUCUUGCUUGGAGAAGUUGUGACAGCUCUUGUCCACGUGUGUUCUCACUGUUUCUUUUCCCUUGAGUUCCUCUCCUGUUCCUUUGAUCCAUAUGUAGUUGUUGCCCCUGCCUCUCCUCCUUUCUCUCUCCCUUUUUUUCUCCUCUUCCCAACUCCCUUCUCAACAUGGGGAGUUGUAUUGCGUGGACCUGUCCUUUCUGUGGACUGUGGGGAGGCCGAGCCAAUUCUUAGCUCCUGUCUGAGCCUAGUGAUGCCCUGUCCUCACCUCUGCUUCCACUCCCUUUCCCAUUCAGGCUGACUGUCACCGCAGGGAGGCAGGUGGGUCUGGAGCAUGGAGUGGCCCCUGUCCUGGGUCAGCUGUAGGAAGGGGCCCCUUUGUAAACAAGCUUCUGCCAGGUUCUGAGGCAGAGCACUGGUCUGAGUCCGGCCCCACAGAAGGGUUCCAUCUUGUGGUCAGCGGGGUGGGCUCAGACCUGCAGACUCCCGCAGUGGGCCCACCCUUUCCCUUGCUAUGGCCCGUCUGUGAGUGGCUUUCCCCUGCCUCCAUCGGUGUAUAAUCAGGCAGGUGGUGUUUGCUCUUAGGUGAUUAGAAGAGGAGGAAAAUGCCCAUCAAGCCGCUGCUUCAGCCUGUUGGCCAGGGAACAGCUGAACAGGGUCAAAAUGGUCAGCUCCUGGGCGCUGAGCUAAGGAAAUAUGCAGGGGGUUUUGACUUUCCCUGUCCUGAGGCUUGCCUCCACUUUGACCUGGCUGCAUCUUUCCUCAGCUCUUCUGGGUAAGCUGAGAGCUAAGCAAAUAAGACCUCCUGGGCUACCUGGUCAUGAUUUGGGUUUUGUAUGGAUUUUUUGAAAAGAGAGAAAAAGAGUGUUGGCUGGGUGCGGUGGCUCAGAGGGCAGAUCUCUUGAGUCCAGGAGUUCAAGGCCAGCCUGGGCAACAUAGUGAAGCCCCAUCUCUGCAAAAAAAUACAAAAAAAUAGCUGGGCAUGGUGGCACAUGCCUAUAGUCCCAGCUCCUUGGGGGGCUGAGGUGGGAAGAUCAUCUGAGCUGGGGAGGUCGAGGCAGCAGUGAGCCGAGAUUGUGCCACUUCACUCCAGCCUGGGUGACAGAGACCCUGUCUCAAAAAAAAAAAAAAAAAAAAAAAGAGAGAGAGAAGUAAGUUCCAGGCAAUUGUUGGUAGUUCUGUACUGCAAAAAAACACCUCUGUGCCAAGGCUUUGAGGCCCUCAUCUUAGAGUAAUCCCCUGACUUCCUGGGAGAAGGGGAGCCCCAGGGUUCGUAGCAUUCCUGCAUGCUUUAGAACAGUGUAGGCUGGUUGGGAAGAGAACUGUGACCUUAAAUUCUUGGAGAGCCCAGGACUGGCUUCUGGGGUAAUGGCGUCAUCUAUGGAUCAAGCUUAGAUUUACCUGACAGCUGAAUUCCAGGGAUAGGAUGGAGUUGCUUCACUGAAGCUUCCCACCUGAGACAUUGGCACCAAGAGCUCCAUGACCAAAGGGCCCCAGGUGGGGCUGGCGUUGGCAACAAACAUGGUCACCUUCCUAAAACAGGGAGGCAAUUCGAUUGCACAGGGCUUUACGUGCUGUUGGUAAAGUCUGUUAGGUCACAUUCUAUGCGUCUUUUCUGUACCAUGUGCCAAAAAUAGACUCAUUUUGCCUGCCCUGCUUCCUCCCUCCUGUUCUGCCAGACACCAGCUUUUGUUUUUUCCUCCCGCAUUGCGUGAGGGUCUUGGUGUGUCCAGAGCCUUCUUUUGUCCUGUGGCUAUGCUUCGGUGCUGAGCCCAGAGCUAAACAGGUGGACAGCAGGUGUCCCGGAAGGGCUGGAGCUUGGCUGUUUCUCAAGGGAAAAUCGGCUGCUUCUGGUCACUGGAUCAUUACUGUCUGGGAAUUUUUGCUUUGACGAUACAACUUAAGCAGGCUCCUCUCCAGCCCUGGUCUGUCUCACCGGGGCUGUUCCACCAAAGCACAGAACGUCAGUGCUCGCCUCAAGUACGUUGCAAGGCAGAUCUAUUUCUCAGGUGUGGCGGGGAUGCCAUGCUUUUCUUCUUUGUAGCUGCUAUACCUGUGUUGAUUGGGAAGACGCUGGAAGGGCAGUGGAGAGGUGAGCCUAAUGUUAAGAGUCUUGGCUCUGUCCCACGAUGACUGGAUGAUUCGACAGGUUGCUCACCUCUCUAAACUUCAGUGUCUCCAUCUGAAAAAUGGGGGCAUUGUAGUAUCUACCUCUUAGGUUUGCUGUAGAGAUUACAGGCAAUUAUUGUACAGCAGUGCCUGCUGUGGUAAGUGGUAAAUCAAUGCUAGAUGAUAAAAAUGACAACAGUGAUAAGAUGUUGAUUCUAACCAUCAUAUCACCCCUGGAAGUUUCACCUGGCUUGAAGAAUCCCUAACAGUUUUCAGGGCACCCUGUACCGGUUUCUCUCGUGCCCCAGCGGUCGCCCUGGAUGACAUUGGAGAGCACUCUUCUUGCCGGUCAUGCGCCUCCCUGACCACACGUCGCUCACCCUGUGUGGUCCUCCUGAAGAGGCCGGCCAGGAGACAGAGAUCGACUGAACAGGUGGAUUCACAUUAACUUUCCUUCUAGGCAGCAUGAAGAAGCCUCAGUUGAGGAUGAGAAGGGGUGAGGAUGUGCUAUCCACACUGGGAAGGUGUGCUCCCUCCCGCCCGGGCACCUGCACCCUUUGUCUGCCUUCCCGCUUCCUUCCCAGCUGCUGCUGCGCUGUAGGAUCUCUCUGGGUAGACUGGCAUGUUUGGCCACUUCUUCACGAGAGGGCUGUGUGUGCCUGUGUGUGCACCUGAGGGACCCUGUGUAGCCUUCUUAGCUCUGCUGUCAGGGCUAUGGAAAGUCAAGAGGUUGACCGUGACCUGAACUUUGAGGGAGCCUUUUGAAACUUUAUGGACUAAAGGACUAGAGACUGAUGACAUCCCCCAGGAAGAUGGAGGUCACUGCAUUGCCAGUGCAUGCAGGAAACCCCAGAGACCAGAGGCUUAUCUGCAAUUAGUGUGUAAGUCUCCUCUUCCUGCCUUGCUGCCAACAUAUUUGAUGCUGGGGAGAAGAGACUGCAGGCUUCCUAUCCCUCUUAACAUUUUUUUUUUUUAACCUCAGACCGCUUGCUGACCUUUGGGGUCUUCUUUUGCCCUCACAGCAUUGUCUGUCCUACCUCUUUUAAUCAGGACUUUCCAAAAACUGUUUGCAAUGGAGAUAGGGGAGGGAGUUGGGGGGUCCAGGAGAAGAAGAGCGAGGCACGCCUGUCCGCCGUGGCCCCGGAGCGUCCCUGCUUCUCUGAUCACGUGCUAAUGCCAGCGCUGGUGGGAAGACAGAGUGACCUGUCUUUUUCUCUUUCCCCUUCAUUCCUCAGGCUCCGAGUUGGGUUACUUUGAGAAGAAAUGGCAUUGAGAACAUGUCUUCUAGGUUUUCCUCUUUUAUGACUCUUGAAAGAUUCUCUCCAAUAUGCACCGAGUGUCACAGACUGCCCCUCCUCUCAGCUCUCUUGGCUCCCUUGUGUACCUGGGCUGCCUCACGGGUGUGGCCAGACUGUGGACCCUGUCCUAACCGGGCAGUUGAUCCACCAGGCAAGUGACAAUCAGGAUGCAGGAAGAGAGGCCAGUACACAUGGUCUGUUCCAGUAGCCUCGUUUCUCUGUCGAAUCCUAAAAUACAGAGGUUCACCACGUUCUUGUUACAGACAGCAAGGGCUCUGGGAGGCUACCAGAUUUGGUUGUUCUGCUGUUAUCUCCUGCCACUUUCUCCUGUUCUCUUACAUGGCCGAGGAGAGCUGAGCCUAGUCUGCAGGGUCGAGGAGACACUGCCCUGAAAAUGUUGGUCUAUGACAAGUAUUUGUUGCUGUUAGCUGCUGCUGUUCUGCGAGAAUCUUGCAGCUGCAGAAGAAGCUGGCAAGGCUGGGUUUUGUGCAGCCUGUCUUACUGGGGGUCGGGUUUCUCACUCAGCACCCCCUUUUCUGGAGAUGGAGGAUGAUUCACUGGGAUGGGAGCUGCUUGCCCCCUGCUCUAAUAUGCCCUUUUACUUUCCAUUCAAAGGUCUUGAUUGUGGUGAUUUCUAGGAACUCCAGACGUUGAGCCUACUUCUGUCUCUGACACUAAAUGCAUCCCAGCUUGCGUUACAUGGGAAGGUGCUUACUAUUAAAAUCUCUCUGUCUGCCUUUGCUAGGGUCUUCUGAUUGCUCUGCAGGUUGGUUUCCAUCCGAGGUGGGCCAUGCUCCUGGAGCUUUCUACUGGGUUUUCUUCUUUCCAGGAGCAAUAGAAAGGCGGGUGUCAUGGAGCCAUCGUGGGCACCUUGGGCUCUGUAGGACUGAACUCUGUCCUUCUAUGGGUCAGCUACUUGGCUUUCUUCCAGCCCCUCUUCCAAAGCCUCACACAUCCGGGAGCUGAAUUGUGGCUCUCUGGUUGUCCUUUCCAGAACACUUCCACCUGCACCCGGGAACGCUGCUGCACCUGAGAGGCUGGAGGCUCUGAAAUACCAACGGAUAAAGAAGCCCAAAAAGUCAUCCAAGGGCUCUUCGAAGUCAAAGAAACGAUCCGACGAUUCUGCCUCCCAGACUCAGCAGCUUCCCAACUCUCAGGUUCUGUGGCCCGAUGAAGCUGUCUGCCUCCGAAAGAAGAAGAGACAUUCUCGUCCUGACCCCUUUGCCCGGCUCUCAGACUUGUGCCACCGCCAGCUUCCGGAAGACCAGACAGCGAUUCUCAACAGUGUGGACCACGAUGACCCAGGACAUGCCACUUUGCUGUGACUCCACCCCACUCUAGGUGUCCCCGGGGCGAGGUUGCUGGGCUCAGGCAGGGAGGGCCACUGUGUGGGGGUGUGUCCUCCUCCGUCUGCCAAGGGUGGCCCAGACCUUUGUCCUGCAUGCCCCCUCUUUUGCCAGAGCGGGUGUCUCCCUCCAGAUCCUGGCCGCCUGUCUUCAGGACGGAGGGUGGGCACACCUUCCACCUGUGGGUCGAGGUCAGGAAGUGGAUUGGAGACUGGGCAACACCUGUCUCCUCCCCUCCGCCCCCUGCUUCACUAGGUUGAUUUUUCUCAUCUCUUCCAAUGUCUUUGGAAGUGAAGAGGAAAGCAAUGGCUUUUACUGCUCUCUGCUUCUGUUUCAGUUUUUCAAGUCCUGGAAGAAGGCUGGACUUAAUGUCCAUCUUCCACACCCCACAUAUAUAUAGAUAUAGAUACAGAUGCAUAUGUCUGUAGUGUGUGGGUUUCUCUAUGUGUGUAUAUAUAUAUAUAUAUAUAUGUACAUUGAGGCAAAGUGCUGUUGCUCUCUGUGGUCAGUGGAGGCAGGAGGAGGAGGGCAGCGGCCAGCUGGGGUUUGCGAGCAGGGCUGGCUGCACCUUGGCCAGGUGCCUGACAUCUGUCUUGGGGGAUUCUUUCUCCCAAAACAAGAUCCGUGUCUCUCCGCUGAAUUCUCCGUGUGUCUUCUACCUUCUCCCACCCAGAGCAGAAAUGGGGCCUUGCUAUGAUUACCGGCUGCCUUCUAUGGGGGUUCAGUAAUGAGUUACUGCAGAACUAAAUUCAAGCCUUUGUUUCUUGGUUCCUGGGUGAAGAAGGGGUGGCCAGGCUCCUAGACCUGCAUCUUUCUUUCUUCCUUCCAGCGUGGCUCACGCUGCAGAAGUAGAGGCUAACUCAGCCGCGGGGCUGAAGCAAGCCUCUGGUGCGCAUGUCCAGCGCAUCCGUCGGCACCCUUCCGCCCAGCCAGGCCGUGAGCUCUGUGGCCAAAGUCUCCCCCACUGCGGAGCCACCUGUGCUAGCGCCAAGCUGCCGGCUCUAUUUAUACCGUCCCCGGCUCAGCACUCUGUGCAGCGCUGUUCCACAGCGGCUGAUUGGAUCCUCCUUUGCUUUUGUGGGAGCUAAUUCUCCAGAUUGAUUAAUUACCACUUGUGCGGAGCCGCCUGUGGCUUUCCCGCACUCACCACGUGCUGCCUGCCGACUCUUCUCUGCCCCGGGGCCUUCGUCCUCCGGUGGACCUGAGCUGCAGGGGGAUGGGCUCAGGUGAAGCUAGGGCGCCUCUGGCUGCUGGGGCCUGGGACGCUCUGGAUCCUGCCCUCUUUGCCCAGUUCUAUUCUGUGGCUGAGGCGUAGGAAUGAAGGCGGGAGGGGUGGUGAGUAGGGUCUGGGCACUGACUCUUCCUCUGCCAAAGUCUGGUCCUGGUUCAAACUCGUAGCAUCCAGAAGCUUCCUGAGAUCAUCUUCCCACUAAGAUGUCUCUCUGCCGGUAAGAUAUGGUGCUGCCCAAGGGCAGGGCAGAAGGCCCCGAGGGCGGGGUGGAGGGGAGAUCUGCCCCUCCCCCACUCUUGUGUAGGAGCCCCCCUUCUGGCUUGGCUUAGAAUGAAGGUUCCUUGAAGUAUUUCCUUCUUGGUGCUGCUGUCUUGGUGGGUUUGGGGGCACCCACCUCUCCCGAGUUCCCUGCUUGGACGUGAGCCACGGCAGCAUUGGACGGCUUCUGCUGGUCUCACGCAGCUGCCAUGGGCUUGGCCCAGUGACCUCGCAGGAUGAGGCCUUGGAUGGCUGCUGUCUCUUCUUGGCGUUUCCAUCUUAGGGGAUGGACUUCUUCUGUGCCACACCGGCCCUGGUCCUUCCUUUCACCCAGGGAGCUGAGGACCAGCUCCACCCUUGAGGUUUACCGUGCAAGUAACACGACCGCAGUUCCUUUCUGAACACAUCUGAAGGGGUCAUGGUGAGAGAGGCACGCAGGGGCUUCUGAGACUGGGCCGUGCACCCUUGGGGUGGAAUCUGGGCCUUCCGGUUGAUGUGCUUCUCUGGGGCGUCGGAAUCCACUUGACCGCUGGGCACCAGCUCUGCGAGAUGGAAGAGCACACAACUCUUUGUGUUCUUUUUUCCAGGUAGCACACCCUCUGCCCCCGCGUCGUGAUGUGCUGCUCACUUGGGCGUCUCUCCUUGGGGAUGACGGGAGCCGGCUUACCUGAGGUGUUGGGGUGGGAGGUGGGGGCUUACCGCAAGCUGACGUGCAGCCUUUGUGCACUGGCAGUGUGAGAUUUCUACCCCAGAGGAGCUCACGGGGCUCAGCCAGGCCCUGGGAUGCACUGGGAUGUGGGCAUCAGGCUGUCAGCCUUCAGGAUGAAUUUGGCCUACUUUUCUGAGCACCCUCCUGGGAAUUCCAGCCCUCAGGUUAGAAAAGAAGAGGAGAUGAUGAGGUAGAAGGCUUUGCUUCUUUCGGAUGUCAUGAGAGGCUGAGAUGCUCAGGCCGUGGCUGUGCCUUCCAGGGCACCCCCGUGCUAACCCAGGUGCUGACUCCUCCUCCGCUUCCUCUGGCAGUGCCCAUGACCUCAGCACGUAGACCCAACGCGGGGAGCCGUGCUAUUCGCUGGUCACCGAGUGGCUGCUGUGCUGUGGCUUCCCUGGCUAGGGCAAGGACGUCAGGUCUGCCCAUCUCUCAGUGGCCUGCCACUCAUUCAGCUCCCCUGAGGGCUUCCUCCUGUGACAGUGUCCUCGGAGGCCAGCAGCCCUCCUGCAGCCCGUGGACGGCGAUGGGAUUGGUGGAACGCAGUUCCCUCCGUGGAUAGAGGGCGAAGAUGUCACAGGCACAAGUUUAGGUGCUGGGUAUAGGCAUGUGUGACAGCGUGGUUGUGAGCAUGUGGGUGAUGGGGGUGUAACCACCUCUAGGGACCAGUGUCCUUCAUAGUCUGCCUCUGAACAAUGGCAGUGACUACUGAUCAGCUUCUUAGGACUUCGGCACUCACUCUGUAGGAGAUCGCACCUUCCAAACUUCCCCUUUUACGGUCUGGCGGCCUUGCAGUAGACACGACUCAGAUGUAAACCUGCUUCUGUGUCUCAGAUGUCUGUCUGCCUCUUCAGCAUCGUGGCUGAGAACUGUGGCUGUUGUAGUGUCAGGUGACCCACAGACCAGGAAGAGGGGGAAACGGUUCUUAGCGGGGCCUGGACAACUGCAUUUGCGUGGGGAGAGAAGAUGUACGACGAGGCAGAGAGGCGAAGCCUGUCUCGAUUUGCUGGUGGGCUGCCGUGGGCUCCCACCCGGUGCUGAGCGGGGUCCUGUGCUGGAUUGUUGGGGUGGCUCUGGGCCCAGCAUCUGGGAGUGGCCCUGCCUGCUGCCAGUCUGCCUCUAAGCAGCUUCCCUGGAGAGACUGGGGGUAGGACAGGCCUUUUGAGAUCCUGCUUUCUUAGCAGGAAGGACGCCUUUUUCCCAGCAGGCUGGCGGGGUCUGUGCCCUCCUUGGAGGUGCUUAGUCCCACAACCAUGCGCUUGCGGGAAGACUGAAGCCGGGUGGAUUGAGCCGAGUAUUUCUUGUUAUUUUUCCAUGCUCUCUGUCUUUAUUUUUGAUUUGUGAUCUAAAAUAUUUGGGGUUGAACUGUUUUAAUUUAUUCCUCUGCCCUUUUUGUGCCGAGGAAACUGGGGUAAGGUUCAAAUGUGAAAUUUUCUGAUUUUAUUUGGGGUGGGGGACAAGGUUGACGAAACAGUAGCUUCUAGGGAGAAACAGAUUUCACGGAGCCUCCAGCAUCUUUGGCACUGCCCACGAUCUGAAUCUCCAGGGCUGAAGACUGCGUGGCUGGAAUCUGUUUCUUCCCAUUUUGUUAGCAAAAGCCUUUUCCAGGCUUGGGGGUGGGGUGGGGGAAGAAUUGUACAUAAAGUACAUUUUAUUAAUCUGUAGAGAAACCUAGGAAAAGAAAAGAUAAUGGUUAAUCUUGGGCUUGCU